CGGAGUGUAGCGCAGUCUGGUAGCGCACCUCGUUCGGGACGAGGGGGUCGCAGGUUCGAAUCCUGCCACUCCGACCA
rnacentral:tRNA from 10 species